GCCAGGCAGAGUGGCGCACGCCUGUCAUCCCAGCGGCUCGGGAGGCUGAGGCAGGAGGAUCGUGGGUUCAAAGCCAGCCUCAGCCAAAGAGAGGCUCUGAGCCACUCAGGGAGACCCUGUCUCUA
rnacentral:sRNA from 1 species